CCAGCCGCACCGCAUCAGCCCCACUCGGUCGAUCCUCCCAAUCUCCUCCUCGUCCUCCCUCAGCGCCGUCACCACAGGACAAGUUCCCCGAUCCCCACCAUUUGCCACUCGCCGCCCGUGCUGCAGCUUCGGCCAUCAAGCUCGCCGCCAAUGAAGACAGCCUCCGCCGCUCCCCCAUGUGCUCCGGCGAGCCCUGCCGCUGUUUCCCUCUCCCUUCUCUCGCGUUCUUUCUCUCUCUCACCCCUCUUUCUCUCUGUUCGAGCAGCAUGUCCCAGCCGCCAUGGAUGAACCCGACACAACCAGAUCCAUUCGACCACGCCGCUCCAGUCCGAGUCCCUGCGUCGCUGAAGCCCCGGCACCGCUACUCCCACCUCCCUUCGCUUGUUUACCCUCUUUCCCUGCUACCUGUUCUCUGAUUUUCCCCCGCCAUGGCCGUCUCUCUGCAGGUCGCCGACGCACCUGACGGGAUCAAGCAACGGGAGCAGGAGAGCUCCGGUCCGCGAGCUCCGGGGCCCCCUUUGCUCCACCUCGGCCUCGGCCUCGGGCAUGCCCGGAGGCCAACCGCAGCCAGCCCCAACCUGGGAGGCCGACACAUCGUCCCCUCUCCUCGCUGGCCACCCUCCCGGACCCAGCGGCUGUGGCGGGCCUGAAGGCAGCGUCCUGCUCGUCGGACUACGAAUUUUUGGUAGGGCGGCGCAGCUGGGUCAACGCGGCAGCGCUCAAUCCAGUUCGACGCAGAGAGGGCGGAGGUUCCGGCCGAUGCAAGGAAACGACGGGAUGUGGUGCAGCGGUCGGAGUUGGACUGGAUAUGCGGCGGGAGGCAGGUUCCAGGGGCGGAUGGGUGGAUCCGUCGAUGGGCGGCCUGCUGGCGAGCGGCGGCGACUUGGGACGGCGGUGAAGCUGCAACUCGGGCAGCGCCAUGGCUCUCUAUACCGAGAAAACGAGACGAGGGGGAGGUCACGGAGGAGCAGCAGGAGAAGGGAAGGAAAAUAUGGCUGCGGAGAAGGCCCAGCUUGACCGAGAGCUUGGCUGGCGGCGAUCUUCGAGGCGGCGGCGCUGGCUGUAGCGGGUGAGCUCCAAGUACAAGCUUUUAAGGCCCUUCCUUCUUCUACUGGAGGAAGCAAUGUCGAAGUGCUAGCGUGAACGGGGGAGAGCUACCUGGACUCCGAGUCUGCCGUUUGGAACGAGGACGCUAUCCGUGCAGAGAUGGAGCUCGGUGUUUUGGUCCGAGUUGAGCAUAUACGCGGUCCCUGAGGUGGUACUGUAUGUUGAGAAUGGCCCAGUAGCCGGAAAGUGCCUCGGUUGCACUAAGCGACGCGGUCUCCGUGAUAGCCGUCACCAGUGAGAACGGGUGCAAUCGGCAUGGCAGCAUCCGAUGCGGCUGGCGUCAGCCGCCGUGUCCUUCGCUUCAGUGGCACAUCCUGUGUCAGUUGAGGCAAUGGCUGCAUCGGCAUGUUGUGCGAUAGCCUGCACCAUGGGCGGCGCCACGGCAGAUGACAGCGGCCACAAGUUUCAGUGCACACUGCAAGAGCUGUUCGAUGACAACGACAUGAUCAUGAUAUGGCCGGCGCCGGCGUACGUCUCUUGUGAGCGUCCAUAGUUUCACGUGAUGGCAAAGUGUGAUGGAAAACUGCGAGUCUUGCACUGCAUCCAGCUGAUGAUCAAGGAACUACAUGCAUGCAUGCAUGUGAUGGACAAACAUGUGUUAUUGAUUGAGAAACCAACCGUUCGUGAUUCGA